AUAAACCACUGGAAGUGCCUUUUUAAAAGGCUGAGAUCGAAAUCGUCAUUUCGAAAUUCCCCGAACCUGAUCCAGUUCAUACUGGCGUAGGAAAGUGGCGUUACUUAGAC
rfam:Staphylococcus saprophyticus strain CNV2 Spades_3, whole genome shotgun sequence.